rnacentral:rRNA from 1 species
CCCUUAGAUGUUCUGGGCCGCACGCGCGCUACAAUGAUGAAUUCAACGAGUUUAUAACCUUGGUUGAAAAGCCUGGGUAAUCUUUUGAACUUUCGUCGUGAUGGGGCUAGACCCUUGCAAUUAUUGGUCUCCAACGAGGAAUUCCUAGUAAACGCAAGUCAUCAGCUUGCAUUGAUUACGUCCCUGCCCUUUGUACACACCGCCCGUCGCACCUACCGAUUGAAUGGUCCGGUGAAAUCUUCGGAUUGAGACUUUGUUUUCUUCACGGAAAACGCUGUUUUAAAAAGUUGAUUAAACCUUACCAUUUAGAGGAAAGUGAAGUCGUAACA